UGUCCUGGCUUAAUGAAAACCAAGAUGUAAGUGAUUUAACCAUUUCUUCUUACUGCAGUAUUCCUUUGUCAGUAGCUCAAUGUUUCUAUGGUAGUUAACAUAUGCCAUGAAACAUUAAAUUUCCCUCUAUUUUUUCAAGUUAAGAUGACACUGUUACUUUAAUUGAAAUUAUUUCAACUUCAGCUUGUUACAAAGUUAUGGUUUCAACACUUGGUUCAAAACCCAGAAAAUACCUCUGAAUUUAUAUUUUUAUUUCUCAUUUAGUUACUUUGGGAUACAUUUUAAUUUAGUUAUGACUUCUUGGCUACUCUUCUUUACAAUUUACAGCUACAUAAUGGCAAUGCUUGAGCUGCUGUGGC